rnacentral:rRNA from 1 species
UACGUAGGGAGCGAGCGUUGUCCGGAUUUAUUGGGCGUAAAGAGCUCGUAGGCGGUUUGGUAAGUCGGGUGUGAAAGCUCCGAGCUCAACUCGGAGAGGUCACUCGAUACUGCCAUGACUGGAGUCCGGUAGGGGGGUGUGGAAUUCCCAGUGUAGCGGUGAAAUGCGCAGAUAUUGGGAGGAACACCAAUGGCGAAGGCAGCACCCUGGGCCGGUACUGACGCUGAGGAGCGAAAGCGUGGGGAGCAAACAGG